rnacentral:lncRNA from 10 species
AGUUGGAAGACAAAGUAGAAAAAAAUCUCCCAGAAACUAAACUAAAAUGACAGAUUCAAAAUAUGAGAGAAAAUUUGAUAAUUGUUUAAGGAGUUCUAAUAUAUGGAUGGUAGGAAUUCCAGAAGAUAGGGACAAAUAAAAUGGAGACGGUUGUGGUUAUCAGAGAAAUAAAAUAGAAAUUUCCAAGACAUAAGGCUAUGAAUUUCAGUAUUGAAAGGUCCACUGAGGGUUUAGCAUGAAAAAGGGGAAAAAGACCACCUCAAUGGAUAUUAUUGUGAAAUUUCAGAAUGCUUGUAGUAAAUCAGGUAUACCAGAAACCCUGGCCACAGAAAAAGCAGAGCCACACUGAGAGCUGACAGUGGCAAUGGGGACCCCACAAGGACAACUGUACUGCUGAUUACAGAACAACCAGUCCAGAUGGAGCAGGAGGACCCACAGAUAAUUUAUCAUUGAGGUCUGGCAGCCAAGAUGGCCGAAUAGGAACAGCUCUGGUCUAC